AUACGGAGGAUCCGAGCGUUAUCCGGAUUUAUUGGGUUUAAAGGGAGCGUAGGUGGAUUGUUAAGUCAGUUGUGAAAGUUUGCGGCUCAACCGUAAAAUUGCAGUUGAAACUGGCAGUCUUGAGUACAGUAGAGGUGGGCGGAAUUCGUGGUGUAGCGGUGAAAUGCUUAGAUAUAACGAAGAACUCCGAUUGCGAAGGCAGCUCACUAGACUGCAACUGACACUGAUGCUCGAAAGAGUGGGUAUCAAACAGGAUUAGAUACCCUGGUAGUCCACACAGUAAACGAUGAAUACUCGCUGUUUGCGAUAUACAGUAAGCGGCCAAGCGAAAGCAUUAAGUAUUCCACCUGGGGAGUACGCCGGCAACGGUGAAACUCAAAGGAAUUGACGGGG
rnacentral:rRNA from 1 species